UACGGAGGGUGCAAGCGUUAUCCGGAUUCACUGGGUUUAAAGGGUGCGUAGGUGGGUUGGUAAGUCAGUGGUGAAAUCCCCGAGCUUAACUUGGGAACUGCCAUUGAUACUAUCAGUCUUGAAUAUUGUGGAGGUUAGCGGAAUAUGUCAUGUAGCGGUGAAAUGCUUAGAUAUGACAUAGAACACCAAUUGCGAAGGCAGCUGGCUACACAAAUAUUGACACUGAGGCACGAAAGCGUGGGGAUCAAACAGG
rnacentral:rRNA from 1 species